GUACUGCUGAGGAGUCCCAUAAUAGGUCGAAAUGGCCAUCCAAUAC
rnacentral:hammerhead_ribozyme from 1 species